UCGAGAAUGUCAGCCGACAUGAUACUGAACAUUUCUAGUUUGUUUUUCUUUUCUUUACAGUUCAGAUUGUAAAAUGUGAAUGUUCAACAUAUAGGAUAUAUAGCAUAUACUCCAUUUUGUAUCAGACGCAGAUUGGUUGGCAUCCCAUGACUGUUCCAACAAUGAUGAAUCUCUGCGACAGUGAUGAAACUCCGCGACAGUGAUGAAUCUCUGCAACAGUGAUGAAACUACGACGAUGAUGAAACUUUGCGACAAUGAUGAAACUCUAGACGAUAAUGAAACUCUGCGACGGUGAUGAAACAUCAUUAUAUUGCAUGCUUGUGCAACUGUUCUGUGAUGUGAUUUUAGCCGAUUAGGUUUGUCAGACACAUUUUGUCAAGUAGACCAAGAGUGCCAUUUGAUGUAUUAUCGAAGAUGCUGUAUUAAUGAUGUUGUGGCGAAUAUGAUGGAAUAAGAUGUAGUUUAAAUGGCACAGUAUGACACCUGAGCAGGACAGGACGGGACGGGAUGCAACGUGGCGGGACACAAUGGGAUGUAACAGACGUAACAGGACAAACAUGGGUAACACUAUAUGCCCCCAUUUCAUGGUGGGGUAUAAAAAUGCUGACACAUGGGUGCAGCAAUUUCGGUAUACCAUUUCUAUUUUCCAGACAAAAAAGAGCUUCAUUAAUAAGAAGCAUUCUGAUUGGUCAAUAAAGAUAUGAAUAUUA